rnacentral:rRNA from 1 species
CCUACGGGAGGCAGCAGUGAGGAAUAUUGGUCAAUGGACGGAAGUCUGAACCAGCCCUGCCGCGUGCAGGAAGACGGCUCUAUGAGUUGUAAACUGCUUUUGUACAAGGGUAAACCUGAAUACGUGUAUUCAGCUGAAAGUACUGUACGAAUAAGGAUCGGCUAACUCCGUGCAAGCAGCCGCGGUCAUACGGAGGAUCCAAGCGUUAUCCGGAUUUAUUGGGCUUAAAGGGUGCGUAGGCGGACGGUUAAGGCAGCGGUCAAAGACCGGGGCUCAACCCCGGCGAGCCGGUGAUACUGGCUGUCUUGAGAUGUCGAGAGGUAUGCGGAAUGCGCAGUGUAGCGGUGAAAUGCUUAGAUUUUGCGCAGAACUCCGAUUGCGAAGGCAGCAUACCGGCGGCGAUCUGACGCUGAGGCACGAAAGCGUGGGUAUCGAACAGGAUUAGAUACCCGGGUAGUC